rnacentral:sRNA from 1 species
GAUGAGGAAUGAAUUUACCAUUACCCAUGUUCUCAUCCCCAAGCAAAGUGCUGGGUCUGAUUACUGCAACACAGAGAACGAAGAAGAACUUUUCCUCAUACAGGAUCAGCAGGGCCUCAUCACACUGGGCUGGAUUCAUACUCACCCCACACAGACUGCGUUUCUCUCCAGUGUCGACCUACACACUCACUGCUCUUAUCAGAUGAUGUUGCCAGAGUCAGUAGCCAUUGUUUGCUCCCCCAAGUUCCAAGAAACUGGAUUCUUUAAACUAACUGACCAUGGACUAGAGGAGAUUUCUUCCUGUCGCCAGAAAGGAUUUCAUCCACACAGCAAGGAUCCACCUCUGUUCUGUCCUAUACUUCAAUAAGAGAUUUGAAGGCAAAGGAAAAGAGAAGCCACUUAAGAUAGAGCUGCAGCCACGUGACUGUUGUGGACAGAGCAGUGACCAUCACAGACCUUCGAUGAGCGUUUGAGUCCAACACCUUCCAAGAACAACAAAACCAUAUCAGUGUACUGUAGCCCCUUAAUUUAAGCUUUCUAGAAAGCUUUGGAAGUUUUUGUAGACAGUGGAAAGGGGGGCAUCACCUGAGAAAGAGCUGAUUUUGUGUUUCAGGUUUGAAAAGAAAUAACAUAUUUUUUAGGCAAGUCAGAAAGAGAACAUGGUCACCAUGUUCUCUUUUGGGUGCAAAAGCAACUGUAACUCAGAAAUUAAGUUACUCAGAAAUUAAGAAAGAAUGGUAUAAUGAACCCCUAUAUACCCUUCCUUCUGGAUUCACCAAUUGUUAACAUUAUUUUCCUCUCAGCUAUCCUUCUAAUUUCUCUCUAAUUUCAGUUUGUUUAUAUUUACCUCUGGGCUCAAUAAGGGCAUCUAUGCAGAAAUUUGGAAGCCAUUUAGAAAAUCUUUUGGAUUUUCCUGUGGCUUAUGGCAAUAUGAAUGGAGCUUAUUACUGGGGUGAGGGACAGCUCACUCCAUUUGACCAGAUGGUUUGGCUAACACAUCCCGAAGAA